CCUGGAGGUGAUGAUCAUGACCAACAUACAAAGCCUGCUUCAGAUCAUCGGGGCAAAAGUAUGGCCUAUCUGUGGAAGUCAAUUAAGGACUUUUUGGGGAAAAAGCAAUCUGGUAAAAGAUUCGCAUCAGUUGGCAUGGAAGCACCAGUUUCAUGGAGAGUUACUAGUCCCCUGCCACGUUGUUCACUCAUGAUUUACUCUCCUGCAAUUUUCAUCAUGACACUUGUAUUCACCUUGGUGGGAAGAACAGCUUACUGUAAAUUAUUUAGACAAGAGCCAAAAACCAAAAGUAUUUCUCCGCACCCUGAAGUCCAGCGCUAGUUGCUUUUGCCAUUUCUUGCAGUUUGUACCAAACUUGUAUUAAAAGCAAUUAGUAGUGGGGCGACUUGUGCAAUUCAACUAUUUUUUUUAUCUGUUACUCAAGAGAUGCUUUAGAGUGUAGAUGACUAUUGACUUGAAUUAUUGGGUAUAGCUAAGUUUUGGGUCAGGUUGGCGCACUUUGCAGGCAUUA